GUCUACAGCCAUGCUACCCUGAACGUGCCCGAUCCCAUCUGAUCUCGGAAGCUAAGCAGGGUCGGGCCUGGUUAGUACGUGGAGAGGAGACCACCUAGGAGGACCAGGUGCUGUAGGCG
rnacentral:rRNA from 1 species